UGAUGAGCUUGCUGUUAUUCCCCUCCCUCCAUUACCUAUAACUUGCCUACGUAACAUAUCAGCGGCGCGCGACCACACGUGAGAGAGGACAACAAACACCUGAAGCUGCUGAGACAUUCAUCAUUCAUCAUAAAUUUCACACAACAAGACCCAAACAAAGAUGCGCUGAACUCAAAAUAGCUAUGACCUACGGGUGUUCUGGUGGCAGCCCGGCUGACGGUGAGUGUCCUGGCUUUUUCUCCUUUUUGUCUGUGAUUCAGUUUUUUUCUCUGUUCUGCCUGCCUCCCUGUGUCUCCUCCCCUGUGUGUUCCUGCUCUUUCUCUCUCCCUCUGCUCCUGAGCACAGCCAACGACCCGCACUUGCACCUCAUCAGCCACCUCCUCUGCCUGCCCCACCUGCCAGCAAUCAGCCGCAUCUCCAACAGUUCUUCUACCCCUGUUCUCCAGUCAACCCCUGCUUGAUCGUCGUUGCCCCAAACCCGGUCCACUCCCCCUCGUCCUCCGUCUGGUCAGCUGGGCUCACUCACCUGCCCGGCCGAGGAGAUGCAGUGCCAGCAUACAAAAUGUGAACACGUCAAAUGCCAACACCAAAUCUGAAGGAUAACGUCUUUUGGUCUUUUAUGUUUCUGUCUUCCCCCAAGUGCCUGUAGGUUUCUCUAUUAGG